UAGUUAUUAUAGCAAAGAGGAUACACCUGUUCCCAUUCCGAACACAGAAGUUAAGCUCUUUAGCGCCAAUGGUACUUGGUGGGAAGCUGCCUGGGAGAGUAGGACAUAGCUAGGUG
rnacentral:rRNA from 2 species